rnacentral:rRNA from 1 species
UUUCCGCUAACCGGUGAGAAUGCCCUUAAAAACUAUAUAAAGUUAAAAGGAGCUGGUAUCAGGCACACCCCCUGGGUAGCCCAUUACACCUUGCUUAACCACACCCCCACGGGAUACAGCAGUGACUAACAUUAAGCUAUAAACGAAAGUUUGACUGAGUCAUAAUUAAGCAGGGUUGGUAAAUUUCGUGCCAGCCACCGCGGUCAUACGAUUAACCCAAAUUAACAGACCACCGGCGUAAAGCGUGUUUAAGUAUAAUAUUCUAAUAAAGUUAAAACCUAACUAAACUGUAAAACGUUAUAGUUAAUAUCAAAAUAUGCAACUAAAGUGACUUUAAUCUACACUGAACACACGAUAGCUAAGACACAAACUGGGAUUAGAUACCCCACUAUGCUUAGCCCUAAACCCAAAUAGUUAAAAAACAAAACUAUUCGCCAGGGAACUACUAGCUAAUGCUUAAAACUCAAAGGACUUGGCGGUGCCCUAAACCCACCUAGAGGAGCCUGUUCUAUAAUCGAUAAACCCCGAUAAACCCCACCUCUUCUUGCCAAUACAGCCUAUAUACCGCCAUCGUCAGCUCACCCCAAUAGGGACCCAAAGUAGGCAAAACUAUAAAACCAUAAAAACGUUAGGUCAAGGUGUAGCAUAUGAAGAGGGAAGCAAUGGGCUACAUUUUCUAAACUAGAACAUAACGAAUGGCCUUAUGAAAUCUAAGACCUGAAGGAGGAUU